rnacentral:rRNA from 1 species
GAUCAUGGCUCAGGAUGAACGCUGGCGGCGUGCUUAACACAUGCAAGUCGAACGAGAAAUGGAGACGGAAACCUUCGGGCGGAAGGCUUCAUUUCGAGUGGCGGACGGGUGAGUAACGCGUGGGUAACCUGCCUCAUACAGGGGGGAUAACAGUUGGAAACGACUGUUAAUACCGCAUAAGACCACAGCACCGCAUGGUGCGGGGGUAAAAACUCCGGUGGUAUGAGAUGGACCCGCGUUCGAUUAGCCAGUUGGCGGGGG